CUGAGAGUCUGAUAAGUUAUCCCUCACAAGUAGUAUUGUGUACCUGCGGUGAUCUUGUGUCUGCGGUAUCUAGCACUUCUCGUCUUCGUACGAGAGGCAUUAUGUGCUGGCAGUGAGCUUGUACCUGUGGCAUACACUCUUGGUGGCCUUUCUCUAGCGCCAUCUAGCAUUUCUCGUCUUCACGCGAGAGGCAUCAUGUGCUAAUGGUGAGCUUGUGCCUGUGGUAUGCACUCUCGAUGGUCUUUC
rnacentral:lncRNA from 1 species